rnacentral:tRNA from 1 species
CCGGUGCGAAGGCUGCGGAUACUUCAUCGCUCUCUCAAAGCGAAGGUCCGGGUUCGAGUCCCGGCGCCGGCU